UCUGUUGAUGAUGGUAGAGAAAGAAGGAAGACACCAGCUGUUGGGUCAUUGUUUUAGAAAGGGCAGAAUUACAGGCUAUUUAGAAGAGGGAUUAAAACCAGAAGCCCACAGUAUCCUUAGUGUGGUGGUAAAGAUGCUGAGGGGCAGGGAUGUUAUUCAUCAGUGCUUUAUUUAUAUCCUAUCCAUUUUAUCCCUUUUCAUCUAUGUUGAUCUUCACAUUCCAUACAAAUGUCAGUGAUUAUUAGAUUAGGUGAUUUUUUGACUCCUGCAGUCUCCCAGCCCCGGUGUCAGUCCUGCUCCAUAUUUGUCUCACACUUCCCAGUCUGCCAAACCUCAUGCAUUAACCAUGAGAUUUGCACACUUGCUCCUGCCUGACACUUCUCUCCAUUUGGCCCACAUCUCACCCAUUUUUGCUGCAGGCUCUUCUGCUCCAUGAACUGAUGUACUAGUUGCAGCUGGUGGACAAACCUCCGGUUUUACUGAUCAGAUAAAGGAUUGUGUGUCAGAUCAGAGAGGAAAGGCUGCAGGACCGUAAGGUGGUAAAAGCACUGAAUAACAGUGUCUCAGGCAUGAAAGGAUCUCUGUAGCACCACACUGACAAUACUUGACAAUAAAAGGAGCCUGGGGUGAUUAGUCCUGAUCCAGUUCUUUGCACUGCAGACUUCUACAUCUGGCCAUCCAUACUGCAUUUUUCUUUCCUAACUGAAAAAAAAAAUAGUUUGUUACAUAAUCAUGAGGAAAAGAAACAGCUGAGCCUCUGAAUCUUUAAGAUACAAAAAUUAUUUAAAGCCCUUCAUUUUCUUUACCAAAAUUGCAAGCUAGACUAUGAUUCUGUGAGGGUUUUUUUUAUUAUUUUUAGUUACAUUUGAUGAAAGAACUUAAAGUUGUUAACUAAACAGCUUUACAUUGAAGUAAUGAUUAUAAGUAGAUAUUUAAGGUUACUGUAUGUCGAAUGAAUCAGACUAAAUAAAUCAAGACAGCAUUCUUUAAUUCAGCUAGCUACUGAAUCCUGAUUCUCUCGGUAUUGGCUGUACUUACACUGGAGCCUUCAUGUGCUAAUCUGGUUAUGAUCAUACUGCCUCUUCCAGUGAGGAUGCAACCAUGGCUGCAGGUGCCCACACUGGAUGAACACCUGUCCAAUCUACGCAAGAAGGAAAGGAAAUCAAGAGAUGGCAUGUUUGCUGAUUUUGUGUACACAACACAACAGAGUGAUAACAUGAUGGAGAAAUGAAAAGAAAGUUAAAUUUAGCAUGAUUAAGAGGAGAGAGAGUAGAGGAAAAUGGUCAUGACCCUUCAGAAACAGCUUUUGCAGGAGACAGAGAGCAGAAAUGGUUACCAAAUGAGAACGGCAAGCCUUCAGAUGAAAAUGGAUGAGUAUAUUUCACUGUGCCAAGAGAAAUUCUUAUGACAUGUUCCAUUCUUACAGUUGCGGGGCAAUUUCUCCAUUUAAGGCUCUUGAAAGUUCCCAAACCCUGUUGAAAUUGCUGACUGUCCCCGUUUUGCAUCACUACUGAGCCUCACCAUUUCGUGCAUUAGUUUAGUCAGUUGUCUCUGCUCAGCUUCAGCUGUGCACAAGUCCCUAUCCCUAAAGAUACACAAAUAGCACCAGGAACCUCCCAGUGAUCUUCAGUGCUGCUUGCCUGAUGCCCAACAGUCCUUUGAAAACGGAGCUCACUUCGAACGUUGUGAUGAAAUGAGAGAAACCAUGGGAAAUACUCCACUACCUUCUGGUGGGAUCUUUCACAAUGAGCAGCAUGGAAAAAACCAGAGGGGCAAAGCAAUAAACCAUGGAAUCUUCCAAGAAUGCAAAGCAGCAGUGUCGUAACAGCUGUGUAGACAUAGCGAUUCCAGAGCACUGUGUAGACAUGAUUAUUCCAAAUGCACGUUGCAUCACCGAGGAUAAUGAAACACUCUGGACAUACUGCUCCCUGUUUCAGAGGACUUCUUGUAGAUACAGAUGUCUACAGCGAAUUUCAGUCAUAUGUAGAAUUUAGGUCUCUUUGAUAAGCUUUGUGCUGUGUGGAGGGUGGACUACAGAAUUGCUUCUGAGGUAACACAAAAGCAGAUUAUAAAGACUAGGUCUUUGCUACUAAAAAAAAAAUACAGUAUUUUUGCAUAGAAAUCACUAAUAUAUGUCAGAUACGCCAAACUGGAAACGCAGCCAAGUGCUGGAUACUUCAAUUUUACCACAAGGUUAGUUCAGCAAGGUCAGGCCUGUCCUCUUGCCUGGGACUGACCUUGGAAAAUUUGCCUCACUACAAAAUUAAAGCACCUUAUCUUGACUGUGUUUUUAGCACAGGGGAGCUGAUGCAUGUUGGUUUCUCUGAGGUUAAAAAAAAAAUUAGUUAAUCUUUUUAACAGUAAAGAAAAGUCCAAAUCAAUAGAGUCAUCUCCAUUAGGGUAUCUCUGCAAAACCAUGUGUUACCUAUGUUCUUCUAUGUGUUCACUGUUGCAUUGGAACAUGAUUAGUAACCAUGGUAUAGACACAACAUUCUACUAGUGUGGCUGGUGGUGGCUUUAUGCAGGACUAGUCUUGAGAAUGGCAUAGUAAAAUAAGGUAGAUAAUGAAUUUAAACAGGCAUAGAGGUUGGCAUAACAAGUACCCUUGGCAGCUGUACACACGGCCAGUGAGGUGCUUUGUCUUGCAUCCUUUUUAUACUGGUAAAAGCCCGAGGGGAAACCCACUUACUGUGGCACAGAAGUGGUACAGCUUAUUUUGCACUUCUGCACUGGUGUAUGUUACAUAGCUAAAGCACUUUUCUUGCUCAUGCAGGCUCUCCCUGUCUUAAGAGGGCUUGCCGAGAAGGCUAUUCUGACAAAUCUUUCCUGGCAUGCAUUUGGUCCUAACUUUGUACCAGCGCAAACUUUCACGUGUGCGCUUCUAUGACAGAGUAAGAAUGAUUUUUCCCAUUUAUCUUGAAUAUAUCACUGACAGGUUGAAAAUGAAAAACGUCCUCUGAUACCAAGAAGGUACAGAACAUGGACAGGCACUACAGUAACUAUCCUGGCUUCAAAGCUAAUUAAAUUUACCUCAGUGCAGCUUUCCCCCGUAGACAAACCCAGAAGUGCCAACCCCAUCAAUCAUUGCCUCACUCACCUCCCUGACCUAUCUCUAAAACUAGAAAAAAAGCUGAUCAGCUCCUCUCCAUUUCAAUUUUGUGCUCCCCAGCCUGAAGAUCUUUUUAAGUCCUAGCUUCUGGCAUGACGCCUUCCAGUCACUGGUCAGAUUCAGCAGUGGCAGCUGCUAGCAGAAAAUCCUCCUAUUCAAGGGAUGACCUUAUGUGCUCCAAACGCUGCUUUCUCAUUCUGCCUAAAUCGUUUCUCCAUGUUCAGUGCCUGCACUAACACCAUGAUGCAGAUAGAUAGAUUGCAAAUGUUCUGGAGCAAAAGGUAUUAUUUAAAAGGUAAGGGGUUUUAUAUUUUAAAUUCAAAAUGAUGGUGAGACAGUGUUUUUACUAAAGGAAAUUUAAAUUUCACACAGAGCAUCCAAAUUUUAUUUUGAAGUCAAUGCCACAGUAUCCAUCCUGAUUCCCUUAUGAAAGAUCCCCUGUAAAAUCCUGUAAUGCCUUGAGAAUAAUUUUAAUGAUUCACUCCUAUGCAAAUCUCUUAUUUUUCAAUGCAGAUAUUGCAUAAGGGUAGCACAGUACUGUUAAACAUGAACAAGACAUAAACCAAUUUCAUUCAGAUUAUGUUUGUGUCAUAAAUAAGGCUCUGUAUCCACUCAGUUCAAAUCGGCCUCCUUAAGCAGGCUUGCACUCGUUAAAUCCUGUCUAUGACCUCAGGCAGCCUGUUCUAAAUGCACGACUCUUGCAUGUGAAGAGAGGAGCUUGGAAAAUAACACUGAACUGAGCUAAGGCUAAAUCUAUUUGGAUUCAUUACAUCGAUGACUGGACUGUCUUUGUAAAUAACACUUAUUUACAUAUAUUUUAAGAACUGUCAGUUUUGCAUAUGGAAAACAGAAUCACAAGAAUAUGAAAAACUCAUUCAAGUUUGGGUGACCCACAGUCACCAAAAAAAAUGGCUGGUUAUUCCUUCGUAUUUUACAGAAAAUACACAGUCAGUGCAUGCCUACUAAAUCACUACAUUUCUCCCAUCCCUUUUUUUCCACACCAUUCUUUUGUGUUUUUCUGCUCAUCAUACUAGCUUGAGUACAUUUUACAUAUGCAAUUCUCUGUGUGCGCGUAUGUCUGAAAUGACUGCUAUCACUGAGUGACAAACCAGUAUCCAGGCAAGUUUUGACACUUUUUUUUUUAAAGAACUUUGGGAAUUUUCCAGCAGCACAAAGUAUGGGAAGGUAAAAAAGGUUAUAUACAGGAACGUGACUGGUUUUAAACAAAUGUCUUCAGAGAGUUUUCGUCCCUAAAGCAUACCUGUAAGGUAACAGUUUUCCUAGAUGUUAACCUGGUUUUACUCCUGUUUGAAAAGGUUCAGUUCUGCCAGCUGUUUAAUUCUUAAACACAGGGUUUUUUCCUACUCUAGGCUUUGCUUAGGAGUCCCAGUAAGGUGCUAUAGCUAGAAAUCUUCCAUGGUUGUGCUGCCACAAUUAAGGGAUUUGACUCAUGCUCACACAGGAGACUGACUCAGGAGCAAGAAUGGCUUAUGCUGGCAUGGCUGUAAUGUUUCCUGCUCACAGUCAUCUAUUUUGGUCUAGCUUUCUCCCCUCUUCUGAGUUUACUUGCUCCACUGCAAGAUGGGCUAGGCUUUUUGGGAAGCAGCCAUAACCCUAAAGUUUUUAGGCCUGUCAAAAUAAACCAGCACUGAUAUGUGGUUCUUUAAUUCAUGGCCAUCAGCAACUUCAUUCAUAACUUAGUCACCCCUCAGUAAAGGUGGGAAUGGAGAACUGCAUCUGGGAAAUGCUCUAUCUUGCCCAAUGUUGGUCACUCUUGCUCCCCAGUUUAAGACUGUAGCUUGUGGACGUGCAUCCUCUUCCAGGUCUGUCUGCUGUCUGAAAUUACGACCAUGCAUAGCCAUGUAUUGGCAGGUUGUGUUAACCAAGCCAAUUUUACCUAAGAGAUUAAAGGAGGUAAUGGGGGAAAACAGAGUGGGUGCCUCCCCUGAGAGGAUACUGAGGAUCUAGGAGAUUAAAACGUUAUCAGAGUGUGCUGCUGUUUGCAAAACAAAGUCCAUUAUAAGUAGUGUCGUGACCUGUGCCAACAACUGCUCAGCUAGAAAUCCACCUCACAGUCAGAAGUUAGGUGGAUCGAAUGCAAGUCCACAUGUUACCAUGUCAGUCCAGAACCUAACAGUUUCAGUUCGCCUGUAUAAAAAAUUUAUGCUGAGCUCAUUGACUCUGCUGUAAACUGGCUGAGGGUCAUUCAUGUGUUCUGUACCGCCAUUCUCCUGAGGUGGUUGUAACCUUGAUCAGGGAAAAAGGGAUGGGUGAAAGACCAAAGAGCUACAGGUGACAGCCACUUUAACGCUACAGUUCACUUGUCAUCCGUCUAAAUUUUCCAUGGCAAGGACAGGAUCAAAUGGACAUCACGUGACUGCGUAGAGGUCUUUAAUCACCUUGCACAGUUAGUGUGCAAGCUCCAGCCUCUGCUUUUGCUAGAGAGUGGAGCUUGUAUGUAGGACAUACUUAUACUGGUGCAGAUAAACCAGUUUGAAUUAUCUUGGCCUAAGGGCUGACACCCACUGAAACUAUGAGAGAUUUUUUGGCCAAAUUUAAUAGGUAUACAGUUCGGUUCUAAGUGUAACCUUAGGCAAGUCAGAAUGGAUUUGUACAGUCUAGAAUUAAGAGUAAAUUGGCAACUCAGGUAACACUUCUUAAUGGGAAAGGUAAUACAUGAACAGGAUGGAUUAAAUUGCCAGGGAAGAUGAACUAAAUGAGAACCUGUAGAAAAUGUCAAUUUUAAUUUUGUUCUGUGCCUUGUUUUUCAGCAGCUUACUAAGAAAUAGACCUUUUACAUGCUGGUCUUCUUAUAAGUACAUACCAACCUUCUCAGGAAGAUGAUUCAUUAGAGCUAUUGUGCUGGUAAGGCCCUGAAAGAGAAAGUCAGAGGAGAAUCUGAAAUGUCCUUUCAAAGUAAGUUUUCAAAUUUAACCAUCAAAAAACAUGGACAUGAUCUUCAUUCACAAAAGAUGCCUUGUAAUAGCAAUCCAGGAAAAAGAAAAGAACAAAUGGCAAAUAUAAUUCGCAUGUGCUAUGAAGGAACCUUCUACAUCCAGUGACAUAGAGAAACGGAGGGAUCCUUCUCCAGUCAGUACCAGUCACCAGAAGCAGCUGUUCCACAUCUGAUCAGGUGUCACUCCAUCGCUCUCCAGCUGCCCCACAAAUGGCAGCUUUGAAGCAUCUUGUCAGUGACAGUCUGAUGCAAAUUUCAGCACCUUUACAGUGCAAAACAGAUCAUGAUUCACAGAAGACUAGAAGGAAAACAAGGCAGUUAAAAUGAUUUACUUGUUUUGGGAUGGCACACUGUGCCGUUCAGAUUGAGAUUUAGGGCGGGAUUAAUCUAAACACUGAAGUCAUCUCAACGCUGGAGGACUAAGCCAAAUUGUUUCUCUGCACUCCCUCAGUGUGUGUCCAGGAGAAGAGACAGACACCACCAGACGGUGAUCACCCCAUCCUGCCACGGGUGUCGGAGGCAGUGUGAAGAAUUGCUUCCUAAGGUACCUAUCUCUUCUCGCUGACUACAGGGGAAGCACAGACUAGGCAUCUUAUUUUAUAGGCUAAAAUUAGGUGAGAUUAAGGCUACACAGCUGCUCCAAAGUCAAGACAGCAUUUAUUUUCCUUUUACAUACUUGAUGGGAGGUGCAGAUAGCAGGAUCAGGAAAGGAUGAACAGAGCUUAGUGAGUGAGUAGUUGUUCAAUAUUUCUUUUUAGACUCAUCUCUUAACGUGUCCCCCAUCCAUUAUUUACUGCACACCAUCUGAAUGCUGCACUGAAUAGAGAAUCACUCAUUUUCUCAUGGGCUUUUCCAUGCUGCUCUCAUUGUAGUACUCUAUUUCUCUGCAAAUAUUAAUGAAUUUAUCUUCCCAACACCCUGGUGAUAUUACUAUCUUCCUCUUACAUGUUGUGAGUGAAGACGCUGAAAAAAAGUAAAAACGGUCCUCUAGUACUGUUUCCUCCACAUAACGUGCUUUCCAGCUGGAUUUUUCAGAGUGCUUAGCAAUUUUAGGCCUUCAUAAGGUCAAAGUACAGUUCCUGUUCACUUGUGCUGCGAUUAUUGGUGCGUAGCAUUCAGCUGCGUAGUCUCUAGGUGUUUUAAGAUGGAUACCCAGAAAAAUGAAGAAAAACCAGGGGCCCAAAUGCCUCCCUUUGAAGUUCUCUGCCAUAUUCAUGACACACUUUCCAACAUUUGCAACCAAGCAGAUUCGGGCCUUUUUCACUGUUCAGCAUUGACUCCUUCCCUGUCUGAAUGCAAUUCCUCUAUUUCCCCUCCCGGCUGGGAGGUCCGUGGCUUUGGGGGCUGUGCACUGCUAGGUGCGUCAGGCAUCCUCGGACAUGAAGAGCUAAAUCCAAGCCACGUCCCAGCCCCGCGCCGACGCGAACAAGCUCUGUCAGGCUGCGCCUAGGCGGAGUGCCGGGUGUGUGCAGUACUGGGGACAGAAAGGGGCCAUCCACAAGGCAAAUAAAGGGGCCCCUAAACCGGACUUGAGCAUCGGACCCCUGAACACCGACACUGCUGGCCCUUCUUUCCCUAAAAGAAAUUCCCACGUGAAGAGGGGUAGUGGUGUCCUGGAGCUCCAGGGCAUCCCAGAGAUCACAGGACGACGUGCGGCACG